UACAGAGGUCCCAAGCGUUGUUCGGAUUCACUGGGCGUAAAGGGUGCGUAGGCGGUCGGGUAAGUCUGAUGUGAAAUCUCACAGCUUAACUGUGAAACUGCAUUGGAUACUAUCCGGCUUGAGGAAUGGAGGGGAGACUGGAAUUCUUGGUGUAGCAGUGAAAUGCGUAGAUAUCAAGUGGAACACCAGUGGCGAAGGCGAGUCUCUGGACAUUUCCUGACGCUGAGGCACGAAAGCCAGGGGAGCAAACGGG
rnacentral:rRNA from 1 species